rnacentral:rRNA from 1 species
AGAGUGAACGCUGGCGGUAGGCCUAACACAUGCAAGUCGAACGGCAGCACAGUAGGAGCUUGCUCUUACGGGUGGCGAGUGGCGGACGGGUGAGGAAUACAUCGGAAUCUACCCUUUGGUGGGGGAUAACGUAGGGAAACUUACGCUAAUACCGCAUACGCCCUUCGGGGGAAAGCCGGGGACCAGCAAUGGCCUGGCGCUGAUAGAUGAGCCGAUGUCGGAUUAGCUAGUUGGUGAGGUAAUGGCUCACCGAAGGCGACGAUCCGUAGCUGGUCUGAGAGGAUGAUCAGCCACACUGGAACUGAGACACGGUCCAGACCUCCUACGGGAGGCAGCAGUGGGGGAAAUAGUU